rnacentral:misc_RNA from 1 species
UUCUUGGAAAUUGGAUCUUUCCCUUCUUCAUCUUCAUCUUCCUCCUUCUUUGGCUUUCUCUGACCAGUAAGGUCCAGAGAGCAAUCAAUAUCUUCAAUCACGAUGAUAGACUUGCUCUUAGUCUCGAUCAAUAGCUUCCUAAGCUCGCUGUUGUCCUUCACCGUGGUCAACUCAAGAUCGUAGAUAUCAUAAUUCAAGAAAUUAGCCAUUGCAGCUAUCAUAGUUGAUUUCCCAGUUCC